rnacentral:rRNA from 1 species
GCCCGGAGACCAGGCAAAUCCGGUCUCCGCGAGGGCGAGGCUCCGGACGAAGCGCUUGAGCGAAGCGAGUGAGCCCGUGGUCCCCAGAAAAACCCCUAGGCAGGGGCAUCUCCGCCCGUACCGCAAACCGACACAGGUAGUCAAGGAGAGCAUCCUGAGGCGCUCGAGUGAAUCACGGCCAAGGAACUCGGCAAAAUGGUCCUGUAACUUCGGGAGAAGGGACGCUUACUCACCUUCGGGUGAGAAGCCGCAGUAAAAAGGCCCAGGCGACUGUUUAACAAAAACACAUGGCUUUGCGAAAUCGAAAUAUGAAGUAUAAGGCCUGACACCUGCCCGGUGCCGGAAGGUUAA